AAGUCGUAACAAGGUCUCCGUAGGUGAACCUGCGGAGGGAUCAUUACCGAGUGAGGGCCCCCCGGGUCCGACCUCCAACCCUUUGUCGUUACAAUCUCUGUUGCCUCGGGGGUGACCCGGCCCCCCGCGCCGGGGCCCCGGUGGACCCAACCAAACUCUGCGUCCAUGCGUCGGAGUCGCAAGUAAAUAUAAUCAAAA
rnacentral:misc_RNA from 1 species